rnacentral:rRNA from 1 species
GAUGAACGCUGGCGGCGUGCCUAAUACAUGCAAGUCGAGCGAACAGACUAGGAGCUUGUUCCUCUUACGUUAGCGGCGGACGGGUGAGUAACACGUGGAUAAUCUACCUAUAAGACUGGGAUAACUUCUGGAAACCGGAGCUAAUACCGGAUAAAAUAUUUAAACACAUGUUUCAAUAUUGAAAGACGGAUUUGCUUUCACUAAUAGAUGUAUCCGCGUCGAAUUGGUUGGUUGUUAAGUUAACGGCCUCCCAAGGCAACGUACCGUAGCCAACCUGGGAGGGGGGUCGGCCACACUGGACCGGGGACAGGGUCCAGCCUCCAACGGCGGGCAGCAUUAGGGAUUCUUCGGCAGUGGGCGAAAGCCUGACGGGCCAACGCCGCGUGAUGGAUGAAGGUCUUCGAAUCGUAAAACUCUGUUGUUGGGGAAGAAGAAGUGUGUAAGUAACUAUGCACGUCUUGACGGUACCUAAUCAGAAAGCCACGGCUAACUACGUG